rnacentral:rRNA from 1 species
GGUUAAGCGACUAAGCGUACACGGUGGAUGCCCUGGCAGUCAGAGGCGAUGAAGGACGUGCUAAUCUGCGAUAAGCGUCGGUAAGGUGAUAUGAACCGUUAUAACCGGCGAUUUCCGAAUGGGGAAACCCAGUGUGUUUCGACACACUAUCAUUAACUGAAUCCAUAGGUUAAUGAGGCGAACCGGGGGAACUGAAACAUCUAAGUACCCCGAGGAAAAGAAAUCAACCGAGAUUCCCCCAGUAGCGGCGAGCGAACGGGGAGGAGCCCAGAGCCUGAAUCAGUGUGUGUGUUAGUGGAAGCGUCUGGAAAGGCGCGCGAUACAGGGUGACAGCCCCGUACACAAAAAUGCACAUGCUGUGAGCUCGAUGAGUAGGGCGGGACACGUGGUAUCCUGUCUGAAUAUGGGGGGACCAUCCUCCAAGGCUAAAUACUCCUGACUGACCGAUAGUGAACCAGUACCGUGAGGGAAAGGCGAAAAGAACCCCGGCGAGGGGAGUGAAAAAGAACCUGAAACCGUGUACGUACAAGCAGUGGGAGCCUCUUUUAUGGGGUGACUGCGUACCUUUUGUAUAAUGGGUCAGCGACUUAUAUUCUGUAGCAAGGUUAACCGAAUAGGGGAGCCGAAGGGAAACCGAGUCUUAACUGGGCGUUAAGUUGCAGGGUAUAGACCCGAAACCCGGUGAUCUAGCCAUGGGCAGGUUGAAGGUUGGGUAACACUAACUGGAGGACCGAACCGACUAAUGUUGAAAAAUUAGCGGAUGACUUGUGGCUGGGGGUGAAAGGCCAAUCAAACCGGGAGAUAGCUGGUUCUCCCCGAAAGCUAUUUAGGUAGCGCCUCGUGAAUUCAUCUCCGGGGGUAGAGCACUGUUUCGGCAAGGGGGUCAUCCCGACUUACCAACCCGAUGCAAACUGCGAAUACCGGAGAAUGUUAUCACGGGAGACACACGGCGGGUGCUAACGUCCGUCGUGAAGAGGGAAACAACCCAGACCGCCAGCUAAGGUCCCAAAGUCAUGGUUAAGUGGGAAACGAUGUGGGAAGGCCCAGACAGCCAGGAUGUUGGCUUAGAAGCAGCCAUCAUUUAAAGAAAGCGUAAUAGCUCACUGGUCGAGUCGGCCUGCGCGGAAGAUGUAACGGGGCUAAACCAUGCACCGAAGCUGCGGCAGCGACGCUUAUGCGUUGUUGGGUAGGGGAGCGUUCUGUAAGCCUG